GAUGAAGAACGCAGCGAAAUGCGAUACUUGGUGUGAAUUGCAGAAUCCCGUGAACCAUCGAGUCUUUGAACGCAAGUUGCGCCCUAAGCCUUAGGCCGAGGGCACGCCUGCCUGGGCGUCACACGUCGUUGCCCCCCCAUCUACUCCUUCGGGAUUGCGGGGGGCGGAUGAUGGCCUCCCGUGCGCCUCGCCGCGCGGUUGGCAUAAAUGCCAAGUCCUCGGCGACGCACGCCACGACAAUCGGUGGUUGCGAAACCUCGGUUGCCCGUCGUGUGCGGUCGUCGCGCAUCGAGGGCUCGAAAAAAUUGCCGGGUUCCGGCUCGGCUUUCAACGCGACCCCAGGUCAGGCGGGGUUACCCGCUGAAUUUAAGCAUAUCAAUAAGCGGAGGA
rnacentral:misc_RNA from 1 species